GUGGGGAUGUGGCUCAAGCGGUAACGUGCUCACCUGGCAUGCGCGGGGCGCUGGGUUCAAUUCUCAGCACCACA
rnacentral:tRNA from 1 species